AACAUCGCCUCUUGACUCCAUAACAUAAGAGGUCCCGCCUGCCCUGUGACGAAAGUUUAACGGCCGCGGUAUUUUGACCGUGCGAAGGUAGCGUAAUCACUUGUCUUUUAAAUAGAGACCUGUAUGAAUGGCAUAACGAGGGCUAAGCUGUCUCCUUUCUCCAGUCAAUGAAAUUGAUCUGCCCGUGCAGAAGCGGGCAUAACCCCAUAAGACGAGAAGACCCUAUGGAGCUUCAGACACCAGAGCGGCUCACGUUAAAGCCCCUAGACUAUUAGGACAAAACCAAGUGAUUCCCUCUCCCAUGUCUUUGGUUGGGGCGACCGCGGAGUAAUGAAGAACCCCCACGUGGAAGGGAGCACCCCCCCUUGAAAUAAGAGCCACAACUCCACUUGACAGAAAUUCUGGCCAUAAGAUCCGGCAACGCCGAUCAACGGACCCAGUUACCCUAGGGAUAACAGCGCAAUCCCCUUCUAGAGCCCAUAUCGACAAGGGGGUUUACGACCUCGAUGUUGGAUCAGGACUUCCUAAUGGUGCAGCCGCUAUUAAGGGUUCGUUUGUUCAACGAUUAAAGUCCUACGUGA
rnacentral:rRNA from 1 species